rnacentral:rRNA from 1 species
UACGUAGGGGGCAAGCGUUGUCCGGAAUUAUUGGGCGUAAAGGGUGCGCAGGCGGCGUCGCAAGUCAGGCGUGAAAUCCCCGGGCUUAACCUGGGAACUGCACUUGAAACUACGAUGCUGGAGUAUGGCAGAGGGAGGUGGAAUUCCACGUGUAGCGGUGAAAUGCGUAGAGAUGUGGAGGAACACCGAUGGCGAAGGCAGCCUCCUGGGCCAAUACUGACGCUCAUGCACGAAAGCGUGGGGAGCAAACAGG